rnacentral:tRNA from 1 species
AGCAGUGUGGCAUAGUGGUAAGGCGCAGGGCUUAUGACCAAAAGGUUGCUGGUUUGAUUCCCCACUGGGUCACUGCUG